rnacentral:rRNA from 1 species
CCUACGGGGUGCAGCAGUGAGGAAUAUUGGUCAAUGGUCGGGAGACUGAACCAGCCAAGCCGCGUGAGGGAUGAAGGUACAGAGUAUCGUAAACCUCUUUUGUCAGGGAACAAAGGCGGGGACGUGUCCCCGGCUGAGUGUACCUGAAGAAAAAGCAUCGGCUAACUCCGUGCCAGCAGCCGCGGUAAUACGGAGGAUGCGAGCGUUAUCCGGAUUUAUUGGGUUUAAAGGGUGCGCAGGCGGUCUGGUAAGUCAGCGGUCAAAGCCCGGGGCCCAACCCCGGCCCGCCGUUGAAACUGGCAGUCUCGAGUUGGAGAGAAGUAUGCGGAAUGCGCGGUGUAGCGGUGAAAUGCAUAGAUAUCGCGCAGAACUCCGAUUGCGAAGGCAGCAUGCCGGCUCCACACUGACGCUGAGGCACGAAAGCGUGGGUAUCGAACAGGAUUAGAUACCCCAGUAGUC